CCCGGACUAUGGGCGCAUCUGAUGCAGCGACGCCGCGUGAGUGAGAGGCCUUCGGGUUGUAAACCUCUUUUUCAGGGAAGAAAAUGACGGUACCUGACUAAGAAGCCCCGGCUAACUUCGUGCCCGCAGCCGCGGUAAUAAAACCAGCAGCCGCGGUAAUAAUUAA
rnacentral:rRNA from 1 species